UGAAAGCGUUUCACAGGGAUGCUGGUCCAUGUUGACUCUACAAGGUGUUGAAAGCGUUCCACAGGGAUGCUGGCCCAUGUUGACUCUACAAGGUGUUGAAAGUGUUCCACAGGGAUGCUGGUCCAUGUUGACUCUACAAGGUGUUGAAAGCGUUCCACAGGGAUGCUGGCCCAUGUUGACUCUACAAGGUGUCUAAAGCCUUCCACAGGGAUGCUGGUCCAGUUGACUCUACAAGGUGUUGAAAGCGUUCCACAGGGAUGCUGGUCCAUUUGACUCUACAAGGUGUUGAAAGCGUUCCACAGGGAUGCUGGUCCAGUUGACUCUACAAGGUGUUGAAAGCGUUCCACAGGGAUGCUGGUCCAUGUCGACUCCAAUGCUUCCCACAGUUGUGUCCAGUUGGCUGGAUGUCCUUUGGGUGGUGGACCGUUCCUUAUACACAUGGGAAACUGUUGAGCGUGAAAAACCCAGCAGCGUUGGAGUUCUUGACACAAACUGGUCUACCUGGCACAUACUAUCAUACCCCGUUCAAAGACACUUAAAUAUUUUGUCUUGUCCAGUCACCCUCUGAAUGGCUCACAGACACAAUCCAUGUCUCAAUUGUCUCAAGGUUUAAAACUCCUUCCUUUAUCCCGUCUCCUCCCCUUCAUCUACACUGACUGAAGUAGAUUUAACCUGACUCCUCCCCUUCAUCUACACUGACUGAAGUGGAUUUAACCUGACUCCUCCCCCCUCAUCUACACUGACUGAAGUGGAUUUAACCUGACUCCUCCCC